ensembl:lncRNA
AAAAAAAAAAAAAUUAAUUUCAGCUGAAGAGUAUCUUGGGUACCACUAUGUCCUUGGCAGCUUCUGAUCCUUUCCUGUAGAAUGACUCAAAAACUGUAAAAAUCUAACUCUGUCACUAAAGUAUUCACUAGAGAGCAGUAUAUCUGAAAUGGAAUGAGCUGCGGGUUCCUUGGUGACAGAGCAAGGUCAUGGGUUAUAUAUUGCUCUAUAGUUCUGUCUCUUCAACUGGAGCAUUCUGGGUUCUCCCAAGCCCUGAAGUUGGUCCACAUUAGGUUAAUGGAUGCCAUGGGAGUCAUGACACCAUGGAAAUAUUGGUUUAUUAAGAAGGAAAUGAGAUUCAAUACUAGGAUGUGUUAUUAAGUUGCUGGAUGACAGUGGGCAAGCCACUCAACCUCCCUGACCCCCAAUUUCCUUCUGUGAAAUUAAAAGAAUGGGUAAAAUACCCUCUGAGAUCUCUUUAGCAUACUCUAAGUCAUUCUAUUGUCUUUCUUUUCAGUGCUCUUUCUUUUUGCUUUGGUUUAGUUUUGCUUUGGCUCUUGCUUUUCUUUACCAAAUAUGUCAGUGAGUAGCCAAAUUGAAAGAUGCAUUUUGGGUUUCUUUGUGGGUGGUUUGUUCUUGUUUUGAGACAUGGUCUUUCUUUUUUGUUGUUGUUUUGGUUUUUUUUUGUUUUGUUUUUUUCAAGACAGGGUUUCUCUGUUGCUUUGGAAGCUGUCCUAGCUCUUGUAGGAACUAGCUCUUGUAGACCAGGACUGUUAUACAGAGAAACUCUGUCUCAAAAAUAUAUAAAUAAAUCAGUAGAUUAGUCAAGGCAUCGUGGGGGAUCAUACACUGUGGUUGUAUAGACAGUGUUACCAGAGAAACAUGAAGGCAAUGUCCUGUUUCCUCUGAAAAGACCGGAACAGAGAUUGUGGUGACCUGAGAAAUAGAAGGGAGAUCAAAGCUCUCCUCGUGCCCUACAAGAUCAAGCCAAAGCAAUCUUUACGAGAUCUUGGACCCAGAGAUGGAUAGUUUAGGCCUCUAGCAUUCUCCCAGGAAUGUGGCUAGAGGGGCAAGGCUGCCUUACCCUGGGAUACACAGGACCUCCACAUGAAAAGCCAGUGUUUUACUGUUUACUACAAUCUACCAGAAAAAUCCCAGGAGUUGGGAGAGGUGAUAACUUCAGAGACGCCACUAAUAGGAUAAAGAUGAAGAGAAUCAGAUGGAGGAGAUGGUUCAGUGAGUAAGAAUGAUUGCUCAACAAGCAUGAGGACCUGAGUUCAAAUCUCCUGCACCCAUGUAAAAUGCCAGGCAAGGCUUUGAAAACCUGUAACCCAGCACUGAGGGGUGGAGAUAGGCAGAUUCCAGAAGCUGGACAGCCAGCCAGCCCAGCCAAAGAGUUAAUGAGUUUCGUCUUCUGUCUCAUGCCUGUAGGAAAUCAAGUGGUAGAAGACAGACAACACCCAGUGUCCUGCAGUGACAGAAGACAGACAACACCCAGUGUCCUGUUCUGUCCUCUGCAUACAUACUUACGGUAAAUAUCCACAGACUUAAAAAGAAAGGCAAAAUAAUCUUCCCUCAGCCUAAUCAGGAGAAUCUCAAGCCCUUCCCACUUCAGGAGCAUGAAGAGAUCAGAGCAUGAACUGAAAGAAAAGAGGAGCAAGGCCCUUGACGAGGGAGAAAAGCAGGAAGCAGAGAA